ACUCAAACGUAACAAACAGCAUGUCAAUGGAAGCAAAUGGCAAAAAUAAAAGAAGGAAAAAAAUUCUCCAAAGUACUUUAAAAAUCCUAUUUCAUUGUAUUGGCCGAAUGAUAUUAUUUUCCUUGUUCACAGAUUGAGAUUGUUUAUCUCCUUUCUGCCAAUGUAUUUUGACAAAAUCCAAAAUAAUUCAUAUUAUUGGAUGAACCCUCCUCCUCCUUGUUUGCAGCUAUUUAAUCAUUACAAGGUACAAUUGGUAAGGUCCCCGUUCAACCUCUAACAUUUGUCCAAGUAGCAGACUCACGGGGAGGUUGUCAGCUCCAUAUUUCAUAAAUAACAAUAAGCACAUUCUCCCACUGUGAAUGCUGUCGUGUGAUAUAAUUACAAAGACGUCAACGUCUGAGGGCGAGAGACACAAACAAAAGUCUGUAAUAACGGAACAUCUUUAAAGCUUGUGAGUUUUGCAUUUUCUUCUUCUGUUUCGGAGUGAUUAAUCUGUGGCUCCUUGGGCUUCUCUCUGGGGUUGGUAUGACUCAGCAAACCGGGAAAUACCCAUCUUUGCAAUCCCUCCAUCGAGGAAGCCAAAAACCAAGAGCUCACAGUGAGAUAUGGGGUUGUUUUUUUGCCUCUGAUGUCGAACAAGCAGGGUCCAAGGCUGGUCCUUUUCGAGAAAAUUGUAACAGAAUAACAUACACCGGCAUAUAUUAUUAUCGAUGCCCGCCUGUACCAGUUAUAUCUGAGCACUAUAACGAGUUUAUUGGUAAAUGUUUAGCAAUUAGGAGCAAAGCAAGUUAUAUAUUCCAAGCAAUAGCAAAAAUAAACGAGAAGGAGGCUGACUUUAAAUAUGUCUUGCGUUGUUUUUUUCCCCCAAACACUCUGGGGAGUUGGAGAGGGACCCGGAAGUUUUUUAUAUAUCACAUGGUUGAGAGAUUUAAUAUAAACACAAAAAUGGCGGCAGUCACAUUGGGAGAGUGUGUUUGCUGCGUCAUAAAAUAAUAUGCAUGUAAACAAAGAGAGGAGAGUGAAGAGAAAGAGGAAAGGCAGCCAGGCAGACAGAUAGUGUGAGGGGGAGGAAAGCGAGCGAUCGUGCCGCCAGCGGCAGCAGGACCAGCGCUGUCUGUCAGACUGAGACUGAGAGCGCCUCUGAGCUGGGGGCUCCCGGGGGCUCAUUGUGUCUAGACUCAGUAGUGGGCAAGGCACUGCUAGCUAUGCGUGCACUAAUUCGGGAGAGAAGUUUGACAGAUUUGUGUUGAAUCUCUUGACAGUGCAUGUACCAUGCAGUAAAUUAUACUUCACGCAAACUGCUGGUGUGAGAAGAGUCAUUGCUAAAAUAACGAAUUAGGACAAAUCUGGCAGUCAGCGUAAGAUGCCAAUUUCUAGAAGCUGGUGGAAUCUUCCAGUGUCUCGGAGCCAAUUUAUUUGGGUUUCACGUGUUUUUCUUAUUUUGCAAUUCGAAUCUAUUUUGCUACCAUUGUGUCGCUUAGAUUUUGUUUAUAUGAUGUAAGUUUGUAUUAGGGACGGAUUUGUUUUAAAAAAAAAAAAUGUUUUCAGUUUUGCGUUUUUUUUAAUGUUUUGGAGAUUUCUGCAGGUUCGAAAGAUGGGAAACAGCGCCCAGAUCUAAGUUGUUUACAAUCAGCUAGGGUCGAGCAUGGAGAGAGAAGGUGGAGCAUCGAGUCUCUGAUUCUAAAUGUCUUUCCCCUACGAAGGAGCAUUACCUCCUCCCUCUUGAAAGAUUGCCUGAUGCACACACAUUCUUUCAUGUUGAGGUAUGUGACUAGCUGAAAAUGUGUUGCUGGAAAAGCGCAGCAGGUCAGGCAGCAUCCAGGGAACAGGAGAAUUGACGUUUCGGGCAUAAGCCCUUCUUCAGGAUCUCCAGCAUCUGCAGACCUCACUUUCUCCCUGAGCUUUGGAGGUUUCCUGCUUUAUGGAGCUGCAUUCUUUGCUUUGGUAUAAAAUGAAGGCCUUAAAAAUAAAAGCAUGAAUAUUUAUAUUCAUGAACUUUUAGUUUUCUUUCAAUGACAUUACUGGAGGUCUUCCCUCAGGCAUAAUCAGCUUUCUGACACUUCAUCCUCGAGGCUGCACUUCAUUUAUGGAUAAGUAUACUGUAUGGUUUGUCUGGGGGAAGAAUCUUGAACAAGUAUAGGAAGAGCAUUGCGUCGUACUGAUAAAGGGCAGGAGCCCAGGCUGAUUUUAAUUUUCCCUGUCACUUACUCUGGACCCACUCAAGUUUUAGGACACUGCGAAUGAAUUUACAUAGUACAGACAGAAUGUCACACUGUAAAUGGAAAACAAAUCCAGCUGUCUGGUGAACAUAAUGCUGCAAACUUCGCUCACUAAAUGUUUUUUUUGCAAAACAGCCAAAUUUACAGUUUGUGCAUUAUUUGUAUCAAGUCAUAAGACUGCGGCAAAUGCAGUUAACUCCUAUUAGUGAAUGAUUAAUUUUAAAGGAACAGAGGUGCAGAAAAUUCAUAUUCCAGUGAAUAGUGCAUAUUAUUUUCAUUUUAUUUCAAAUUAAGUUGUGCAGAAGCCUUGUGGGAUCAAAAAUAUGAAGAUUGUUGGUUUUCCAUUCCUUGAUCCCACUGAGAAUGUUUUGGUAUUCCUGAUAUUUUGGACUGUUGAAGUUCCUAAUUUAUAAACUAAAUAAUUUAAACAGAAAUUUGUUGUACGCUACAUCAUAAACUAUUGCAAGUUCCUAGAUAUCAAAAAAUGUUGGACUGCAGUAGAAUGCAAACAUUUAGAUUAUCUAGUCUCUGUUGUUUUUUUUCUAACUAUUUUUCUUUCCACUCUUAAUAGUCCACAUGUUUCCACAAUGGAUUUAACUGAAGGGGUGAUCUUGUGUUGCAAUGGUAGCACCCACUUCUGGUUUAGAAUCUCCAGAUCUGAGUCCCCAUCCAGGAGCUGUUGGCAUGGAAGGUCUAUUAAAUGUGACCAAACAAGUUUAUACCCUACAAACAAGCUUGUAUAUCCUACUGAUACCACUUGCCAUGAAGUGUGCGAGCAGGAGAGUUUCCUGGUCAGCCACCCUGCAGUAGCUAACUACUGUAGUAUUUUGCCCAUAAGCAUGGACCAAGCCAAUCAAAGUUUGUGGUCCAAUCCUUGGAAACAAAGUCAGGGGAAAAGACUGACAGUCUCCACCUGACACCUAUCUGCUCAUCCUGCUGGCCUGUCUGUGCCCUCAAACAAUCUUUGAAUAUUUUCCUUUCUCCUUGAUUUCUUGAUAUCAGAAAAUGUUGUUGUUCCAUUAAUUCCAAAUGAUUUCACUUAUAAAUUGAUAUUAUUGAGUGCUUGCAAAAUGGACUCAUGUCAAGUGGCAAUCAAAAUACUGUAGGAGCAAAUUACUAUAGAUGUUGGAAUCUGUACUGAAAACAACAAAUGCUGAUGAUCACAGUGGGUCAGGCAGCACCCAUGGAGAGAGAGCAAGCUAAUAUUUCGAAUCUAGAUCACUUUUCAUCAGAGCUGAUAUCACGUCACUUCUGAUUUUAACAACCUCUGUGUCUGAUUAUAUAACCUUUUUAAGUUCAUUUGUCAUCUUUAUCCGAAGUUUCUUUUGCGGUACUUGAUGGAAUACAGUUUUUGAAAGUUCCCACAAAUCAUAGUUGCUAUAUUUGCUUUAUAUUUUUAUAUAAUUCUCUAUAGCUGAUGAGGAACAAUCUUUAGAAAUUUGUGUAGACUAGUCCUCAUUUAGUUCAAAUUUAUUGAACUAUUUUGUAACUUCAUCCUUUUAUAGACACUGGUAGUUUCCCAACAGCUGAAGUAAAACUGCUUCCUCUUUUGAAGAACUGAAUUUUAUUUUCCAUCCUCAAGUAUAUAUCCCAAUUCUUAUGCAUUGAAACGGUAGAAAACAAAACUAAAGCCCCUACUUUUCAUCUUUAACUUUUUUGGAUGUUGUCUGUAAGGUCCUGGUGCUACCCUUGAAUUUUGUCUAAGCCCUCUAUGAAAACUGAGAUAAAGUCAGUGUUUACUCAUUCUCCAUGACAUGCUUUCUUAAUUUCUAAUUAGUCCUAAUGUUGGUUUGCAUUAUUGCUUUUGAUUUCUCUUAAUCUUCAUUUAAAAAAAUGUUUUUAAUGUUUGUUACAUUUUAAAUCUUCUAAUUUUUUUUUCAAUGUAUGUAAUUUUUUAAUGUAUUUACCCUGACUUUAUCUUUAUGAUCUUUUACUGGAAGCAUUCAUUCCUUUUUUUUGUAAUUUCAUAUUUCAGCUAGAUUUUCUUGCUUGAAACCUCUAACUUCAAUAAUACAAUCUUUUUUGCCUUUCUGGAAUUUCCACCUUCUGUUUAAACAUUUUUUCUGAUCUUCAGUUUAUUUUCCCUUUAUUCUUCAUUUUAUCAUUUUAUUCUUUCCCAUCAAGUAUCCUUUGGCAAUGUUUCCCUAUUCCUUUCUUGUAAUGAACCUAAUUUUAUGAUAACUGAUGCCCAGACCUUUGCUUUCCACACUACUUAUUCGAAACAAAUACGAUCAGUACUAGAAAGAGCUUUCUGUUUUGUAUAAAUUGUCUGCCUUAUUUCCUUCAUAACAACAGCAAUUAUGCUUCAAAAUUACUUGCUGGGCUGAGAAGUGCUUUUUAGUAACGGUACAAAUCAUUGUAUGGAUGCAGAUUCUAUCUUUCUUUACAAUCUACAGUUAUGAUAUUGCUGUAAUAUUUGGCUAGGUCCUAUCUUCCUUCCCUAUCUCCCAGAAUGUUUUAUGUUAUCCUUGGCUAUAUUUAAUUGUUUGUUAUGAAACAUUUAAAACGAUGUCAUCAUUUUCUGUCGUACCUGAUUCUGAUUUGUCAGUUUGCUUCUUAAACACCUUUGUCUUGAUAUGAAUCCGUUCUGCUAUGGAUUGGUAUGAUUUUGUUCUUUGUCUUCUUUUAUCUUUCCCAUAUCUUCAUUUAUUUUUUAACCCUUCCUUCCAAUAUUCUGCUUUAGUAUUUUUUAUUUUGUUUUAACUUUUUUUGUCCAAUGAUUUAAAACUACCCUAAAGCAUCCGUUGCUCAGCCACUGUGUGUUUGGUCUCCACUCUGUUCAUCAUUAGGCUCACCUUCCAUCCCAGAUGUAAUGUAGUCUCUGGAAUAUAAAUCUGCGCCUCCUAUACAUUCACUCCUCAUUUUGGCAGUUCCUCCACUCUAAUGAUAAUUCUUAGAUUACUACUUUUUGAGAUAAUGAUCUUAAUCUGGUUCCUAAUAAUUUAAACAAUGUGGCUGGACCUUAAUUGCAUUCUUUCCAGUGUCAUUGGUUCUGACAUAAACCUUGAGUCUACUGAAAACCCUUCUCUUUUGUAAACACUCCAUUCAGUCUCUUACCUUGGAAUAUAGAAUACAUAUUACAGAAUGCCUUGUGUUACAGAAGUAAUUGUCUGUUCAAGCUAUCAAAUAUCCCACCAGCAGCCCUACAUGUCACUCUUGCCCAUGAUUAACCAUUGCUCCAUGUCGCCAUGGCAUUUCUGUGGUAUCCCUUUCCUGAGUGCCAUUUUUCUUCUUGCUUCAUUGAGAUCCAUGCUCUAAACACAUCAGAUUGCUGAAGAGCUAAUGGAACUUUCCUUCAUUAUCUGUACCUGAAUCUGCGUCUCUCCCCACCCAACUGCAAAAAUGGUCCUAUAUCUUGCUGUGCCUCAUUGUUCUUGUUGUGGUCCCCCACCUGUUACAGUGUGUGUUGUUUCCUUACUGCACAGUUUCUCAGACUCUAAUUUUGAACUUGAACAAGACCAGCCAGAUGCAUUUGUGGAUUUUGUGGAUAGUCAUAGUUUCUUAAAAUUUCCAUAUUGUGAAAAUUUUGCCUAAUGUGUUAUCAUUGCAGUAAUAUUUGUGUUUGAAAUUAAAGUUAAAGUAAUUACAGUCAACUAUGUUUAUAUACCUCCCUCCAGUUUAGGUUAAACUUAUAUUUACUUAUCUGCGUCUUUCUUAAUUAUCCUUUGCUAAUUCAGUCUAUUUAAAUCCAAUUAAUAUGAUACACAAACUGUUAUGUUCCUGGCCUUUGUAGGUUCAGGCCUACUUUGUAUUUGUGUGGAAUCCCUAUUUGAAACAAACCUUGUCUUCUUUGAUACAAAAUUUGUUCUAUAAGCCCCUCAACUCCAGCUGUUUAAAUCAUAAGAAUGCAUUUAUAUUUCCAGUUCAAACCUGUGUAAAUUGUCAGUUUUAGCUUCCACUUUGAAGCAACGUAACUUUGCAAUUGAUAGUUGUUUGAAAGCAAUCUGUCUAGAUAUUUUAUGACACAUCUCUAGGGCAGGUAGAAUUUGGAUCCGAACUACUACCAUUGUUCCACAAGAGCCUGACUCUACAAUUUUUAUAUAGUUUUUCACCUCCUUUUUCUCUGCUCCCGUCUAGUACAUGUCGGGCUGUUCUGUAAACAGGUGAUUGCCAAUAUCUUGCUGAAGUGGCCAUGGUGAGUCUUGUGUGACAGGCUGGACAGUAGCAGAGGCGUUGUAGCUAAUUCUAAUUCUCCCCUCCGCUGACAACCACAUAUGCAAGUUUCAGCAGCUAAGUGCUAAUCCUGAUUGUGGAGGAAACCAGUCAUGAUGACAGUGAAGGUCAAGUGUAGAGCCCCGAUAUGUAGUUCGAGCUGCAUGAUGCAAUGCACUGCCAAGCGAUAUCGAGGUAAGGUAAUAUAUUUCUAAAUAAACAUGAGAGGUUUGAAAAACCAAAUUGAAAUGUUAAUUCUUUCUCUAUCUCAAGUAAUGUUUGUUAAUCUCAGGGAAACAGCAUUGUUUUUUCCUUAUAUUUUCAGUGUUAAAAAUCUUACACUGGAUGUUGAACUCUAAUCAGUGAUUCAGUAAAGGAAUUGGUGACAUUACUGUUUGUUGAAGGUUGGGUGCCUCUAUCAAUAAAUAGUAACAUUGAAAUCUAACUGAUUUUUUUUUUCUCUCUCUUGCUAAAGCAGGUAGCCCAAUUGGGAAUUUUUCUGACAUGGCAUGCUUGCCUCUGUUCGAAAAGCUCGAUCUUUCCUCUAGGGAUUUGUAGACAGGAGAGAGUCAACCCCAGCAAUACAUUGUGGGCCAAGGACUGAGUCUCGCAAGACCUCAUUAGAGUGAUGCUGGGAAAGCACAACAG